AGAGGGUUAGUUAAUUUAUUGUCUAGAAAUGACAUUUAAGUUGGUCCUUGAGAAAUGUUAGAAUUUUUAUAGCAGUGAUAAUGGAAAGGCAUUCUAAGUGGAUAAAAACUGUGGUUAGAAACAUAGACUGGAGAGCAGGGUAUCUGAAACAAUGCUGAGCCAUUGUUUGCUAAUAGUGGACUAUGUAAGCAAGGCAGUGGAAUAUAGGCUAGAAGGGUAUAUUGAAGCCAAAUUAAAGAAGGAUGUGAAGGUUAGGCUAAGAAGUGUGAUGAGCUUUAUUUAGGUAAUAGGCAAUGAGGAGAAAUUGAAACAUGAAGGAACAUAAUUUGAGGUGUGAUUAUUUGAGUUUUUAAAAUAUUAUCACUGUGCAUCAGAAUGGGUUAGGGAAGGCUUAAAUCCUGGAUGCUGGCUCAGCACCUAUUAGAGCAAUUAAAAUGAGAAAUGAUGCAGACUAAACUAGAAUUUCAGGUAAAAAUGGGAAAAAUAGGCGUUAAAAAAUGGUAUAAACGUUAAAAAACUACACUUGACUGAGUUAGAAUAUGGAGGAAAAGGAAGUAUGGAGAUCAAAAGAAAACAUCAGGAUUUGGGAGCUUGGACACAGGGGAAUGACAACGUAAAGGGAUUAUUUCAAAGAUAAUUUGGCAUAGACACUUCUAGACUCUCCUCUUCAUCUGUGUGUGGUGAAAAAUUAUGUGGUACACAAGACAGAAGAAAAGCCAAACAUACAAGAAACAAAGCAUUCAACAGAAGAUUCAGAGAUGACCCAGAUAUUGAAACUAAAUGGAAAUGCCAAUUCUCAAGCUCAUAUGUAAUUUCAACUGGAUUUUCAAAUGCAAAAUAAGUUGAAUCUCUACCUUAUGCCAUAUAUAAAAAUUAACCCCAAAUGGACUGAAAACAUAAAUAUAAGCAUGAAUAUUAACACUUUUGGAAGAAAUCAUGGGGUAAAUCUUCAUAACCCUGGAUUUGGCAACGAAUUCUUAGUUAUGAUAUCAAUAACAUAAAUAUGGAUAAAUUGGAUUUCAUCAAAAUUAAAAGCUUGUAUGUACCAAAAAUGUUAUCAAAGAAGUAAAAUGACAAUCUAGAAUGGAGGAGAAAAUAUUUGUGAAUCAUAUCUCUGAUAAAAGUCUAAUAUUCAUACUAUAUAAAGAACACAGUUCAACAAAAGACAAACCACCUAAUUAAAAAGAGGGUAAAAGACUUGAAUAGAAAUUUCACCGCAGAAACUAUACAAAUGACUAUCAAACACUUAAAAAGAUGCUCAUAUCAGUAGUCAUUAGGGAAAUGCAUAGCAAAACCACAGUGAGGGAUGACUUCAUACACAUUAGGUUGUAAACACACAGACACACACACAUGCACACAGUGUUGGCAAGGAUGUGAAAAAAUUAAAGCCGUUGUAUAAUGCUGGUGGGAAUGUAAAAUUAUUCAGUUGCUAUGAAAAACAAUUCAAUGGUUUCUCAAAAAGUUAAAAACAGAAAUCCCACAUGACCCUUCAAUUCCACUCCUAGAUAUGUACCCAAAAGAAUUAAAAACAGAUACUCAGAAAGGUACAUGGUCACACAUUUUAUAGCAGCACUAUUCAAAAUGGCCAACAGGUGAAAACAACCCAAAUUUUUCUCAACUAAUGAAUGGAUAAACAAAUUGUGGUAUAUACAUACAAUGGGAUAUUAUUCAGUCAUAAAAUUGAAUAAAUUACUGAUAUAUGGAAUAACAUGGAUGAACCUCCAAGACAUUGUGCCAAGUGAAAGAAGCCAGAUGCAAAAGGUCACAUAUUGUAUGACCCUAUUUAUAGGAAAUAUCCAGAAUAGGUAAAUUCAAAGAGACAGAAUACGGAUUGGUGAUUUCCAGUAGCUUGAGAGAGGGAGGAAUAGGGAGAAGAUGCUUAAAUGGGUAAGAGUCUUUACUUUGGAGUGAUGGAAAUAUUCUGGAAUGAGAUAGAGAUGGUGAUUGUAUAUCAUUGUGAAUAUAUUAAAUGACAAAAAUAUUCACUUUGAAAUGGAUUGUUUUAUGUGUUGUGAAUUUCACCUCAGUAAAAUCAUUUAAAGAUAACAGCUGCUAAUUGCAGAUGCUCAACUUCUCAGGAUGCUUAUCAUCUAGCAAAACCGAUUUGCAUGCAUGGAGAUGUUUAAAUUAUGCAAUAUUCAUGUAGGUUAAGAAAUGAUUUUUGAAGCAGUGGUUGAGCACUACCUUCUUGUGUUAUCCUGUGGAUAGUCCACAAGGUUUGUUUCCUUUCUUUCUUCUUUGGGUAUGGAGGGUGGCAAGAGCAGAAGGCGGCAGGUAGCGAGUUUAAUCAAUUGCUUAGUCCAGCUAGGAAGUCUUGGUUCUGGUAUCUGCAAAAUGGAUAAUCACAUAAUCAAUAGAGUUGAUUAUAAUUGCAUAAUGUUUUAGUUUUACACAGUUCUUAUGACUGAAGUUUAUUUUUUAAAAUUGUUUGAUUUUUUUCACUUGAAUACUUAAAAAUAUUUCUUUGUACUCUUUUUUAGCAGCUUAGCCUACUACAUUUUCCUCCUAUUUGUUUCUUUGUAGUGACUGAUCAUCAAUCAACUCUUUCUUACUGGUGACAAUAUAAUCAAGAUAAACUGUUCUUAGAUUAUUUCUCUAUUUGUAUAAAUAUUACCAAUGUUGUAACAUACUGUGAGGACCUUAAAUAUUAUGCCAGGUUGAUGACUGGCCUUCAGCUCAACCAGUAUUUGAUUCAUUAAAAUAUCUAACCAACAUGUAAUUCUGACACAAAGCCGUGCUGGUAUAUCGACUGAACAAAAUAUCCACUUUAUCUAUCUGAUUUAGAAGUGUCAACUUCAAUUCCUAUCAUAUCACCAUUUCCUAUUGAUUCUUCCCUAUUAACUUUAAUACUCUGUUGGAUUUCCUUUAAUUGUUCAGCUUAGAUGUCUGUGUAUUUUCACCACUUACAAAGUUGGUGACACUAUGCCUCCCUUUACCAUGUUUAUUUCUUUGAAAUAAUCGAUGCAGAAUAAGCCUUAUUUUUUCAUAAGGGUUAUUCCAUUAAACUCUGAUUAUGAUUUAGUAAUAAUUGAGGUCUGAAGUUAAUAUUUAAGGCUUCUGUUGAUAUACAUAUAAAAAAUCAAACUUGAAACCUUCUACAGGAAGACAUGGAUAGAAAAGACACUUUGUACCAAGGCAAAGGGGAGAAAUGGAGCUUUGAGAAUACUUUUUGGUAUUUGAAAUGCCCGGGAAAUAAUUAGUUUCAUUUCUGUGAUUCCAAAUAUAUGUGUUGAGCAGCUUAUAGAUUUCAGAUGUAUUUUGUUAUACUUACUGAUACUCAUAAUGGCCUCCUCUCCCACUCACAACUCUGCUUCUUUCCUGACCUAUUGCUUUUGGUGUUUCAUUCUCUCUCAUUUUCUUCUGGAGAUUGUUAAGUGUGAUCUUAUUGCCGCUUCGCAUAGAGUGUAUUGACAGAAGUGGUAAGAUUUUCUUGAUUGUGUAGUUAUGCACAUGUUUAACCUGUAUGUAUCAACCAAGUACUUAUUCUACAGAAUGUGUAUUGUUUGAUAUAUGAAGAAAAUGAUAAGCUUAUGUUUGCACAGGCUGUCUAUUCCCUUUGCAUUCAUGCUCUAUAUUAAACCAUUAUUGACACUUUUAAA